CCCCUCCCCCUAUAUACACACACCCCUCCCUCCAACCCCCCUUCUCUCACACACACUCAAAGGUCUUCCGUACAAUUCAAAGAAAGUGGAAGGACCCAAAGAAGGGAGUCAGUCUGGCGAAGGAGGGCGACCCGACUACACGCGUGAAGAUGAAGGUCCGGAUUGCAAUUGCCCUGCUCCUGGCAACCCUGAUGAUCGUUACUCAUGCACUUGCAACGCCGUUCCUCAGGCUGAAGGUGCCAACGGCCUCGUUUGAUUUCAAAAACCAAUUUCAGAAAUUCUGGGCUCGAUGGAGGCCCCACCAGGACGACCGCUACUGGCAUGGCUUCGACAUCGACGGAUACACGAAGAACGGUUAGGCCUAAGGAUCCCGAGAGGAGCUCCGUGGGAACUUCCGGUA